AGCGAACGCUGGCGGCAGGCCUAACACAUGCAAGUCGAACGAACCCUUCGGGGUUAGUGGCGGACGGGUGAGUAACACGUGGGAACGUGCCUUUAGGUUCGGAAUAACUCAGGGAAACUUGUGCUAAUACCGAAUGUGCCCUUCGGGGGAAAGAUUUAUCGCCUUUAGAGCGGCCCGCGUCUGAUUAGCUAGUUGGUGAGGUAAUGGCUCACCAAGGCUACGAUCAGUAGCUGGUCUGAGAGGAGGACCAGCCACAUUGGGACUGAAACACGGCCCAAACUCCUACGGGAGGCAGCAGUGGGGAAUCUUGAGCAAUGGGCGAAAGCCAGACGCAGCCAUGCCGCGUGGAUGAUGAAGGUCUUAGGAUUGUAAAAUCCUUUCACCGGUGAAGAUAAUGACUGUAGCCGGAGAAGAAGCCCCGGCUAACUUCGUGCCAGCCGCCGCCGUAACAC
rnacentral:rRNA from 1 species